rnacentral:rRNA from 1 species
UGGCGAACGGGUGAGUAACACGUGGGUGAUCUGCCCUGCACUUCGGGAUAAGCCUGGGAAACUGGGUCUAAUACCGGAUAGGAGCCAUUUUUAGUGUGAUGGUUGGAAAGUUUUUUCGGUGUAGGAUGAGCUCGCGGCCUAUCAGCUUGUUGGUGAGGUAAUGGCUCACCAAGGCGACGACGGGUAGCCGGCCUGAGAGGGUGACCGGCCACACUGGGACUGAGACACGGCCCAG